CUGCUCAGAUUGAACGCUGGCGGCAGGCUUAACACAUGCAAGUCGAGCGGAUGAAGGGAGCUUGCUCCUGGAUUCAGCGGCGGACGGGUGAGUAAUGCUUAGGAAUCUGCCUAUUAGUGGGGGACAACAGUUGGAAACGACUGCUAAUACCGCAUACGCCCUACGGGGGAAAGGAGGGGAUCUUCGGACCUUUCGCUAAUAGAUGAGCCUAAGUCAGAUUAGCUAGUUGGUGGGGUAAAGGCCUACCAAGGCGACGAUCUGUAGCGGGUCUGAGAGGAUGAUCCGCCACACUGGGACUGAGACACGGCCCAGACUCCUACGGGAGGCAGCAGUGGGGAAUAUUGGACAAUGGGGGCAACCCUGAUCCAGCCAUGCCGCGUGUGUGAAGAAGGCCUUUUGGUUGUAAAGCACUUUAAGCGAGGAGGAGGCUCUUCUAGUUAAUACCUAGGAUGAGUGGACGUUACUCGCAGAAUAAGCACCGGCUAACUCUGUGCCAGCAGCCGCGGUAAUACAGAGGGUGCGAGCGUUAAUCGGAUUUACUGGGCGUAAAGCGUACGUAGGCGGCUUUUUAAGUCGGAUGUGAAAUCCCUGAGCUUAACUUAGGAAUUGCAUUCGAUACUGGGAAGCUAGAGUAUGGGAGAGGAUGGUAGAAUUCCAGGUGUAGCGGUGAAAUGCGUAGAGAUSUGGAGGAAUACCGAUGGCGAAGGCAGCCAUCUGGCCUAAUACUGACGCUGAGGUACGAAAGCAUGGGGAGCAAACAGGAUUAGAUACCCUGGUAGUCCAUGCCGUAAACGAUGUCUACUAGCCGUUGGGGCCUUUGAGGCUUUAGUGGCGCAGCUAACGCGAUAAGUAGACCGCCUGGGGAGUACGGUCGCAAGACUAAAACUCAAAUGAAUUGACGGGGGCCCGCACAAGCGGUGGAGCAUGUGGUUUAAUUCGAUGCAACGCGAAGAACCUUACCUGGUCUUGACAUAGUAAGAACUUUCCAGAGAUGGAUUGGUGCCUUCGGGAACUUACAUACAGGUGCUGCAUGGCUGUCGUCAGCUCGUGUCGUGAGAUGUUGGGUUAAGUCCCGCAACGAGCGCAACCCUUUUCCUUAUUUGCCAGCGGGUUAAGCCGGGAACUUUAAGGAUACUGCCAGUGACAAACUGGAGGAAGGCGGGGACGACGUCAAGUCAUCAUGGCCCUUACGACCAGGGCUACACACGUGCUACAAUGGUCGGUACAAAGGGUUGCUACUCCGCGAGGAGAUGCUAAUCUCAAAAAGCCGAUCGUAGUCCGGAUCGCAGUCUGCAACUCGACUGCGUGAAGUCGGAAUCGCUAGUAAUCGCGGAUCAGAAUGCCGCGGUGAAUACGUUCCCGGGCCUUGUACACACCGCCCGUCACACCAUGGGAGUUUGUUGCACCAGAAGUAGGUAGUCUAACCGUAAGGAGGACGCUACCA
rnacentral:rRNA from 1 species